AGUGGCGCACGGGUGAGUAACACGUGGAUAACCUACCCCAAAGUUUGGGAUAACGUGCCGAAAGGUGCGCUAAUACCAAAUACCUUUAUAUCUCACAAGAGGUAUAAAGAAAGGGGGCCUCUGCUUGCAAGCUUCUGCUUUGGGAUGGGUCCGCGGCCUAUCAGGUAGUUGGUAGGGUAAUGGCCUACCAAGCCUACGACGGGUAGCUGGUCUGAGAGGACGAUCAGCCACAUUGGGACUGAGACACGGCCCAGACUCCUACGGGAGGCAGCAGUGGGGAAUAUUGGGCAAUGGGAGAAAUCCUGACCCAGCAACGCCGCGUGGAGGACGAAGGCCUUCGGGUUGUAAACUCCUGUCAGCAGGGAAAAAGGCUAUAAGAGCUAAUACCUUUUAUAGCUUGAUGGUACCUGCAGAGGAAGCACCGGCUAACUACGUGCCAGCAGCCGCGGUAAUACGUAGGGUGCAAGCGUUAUUCGGAAUCACUGGGCGUAAAGGGCGCGCAGGCGGUUUUGUAAGUCUAAAGUGAAAUCCUUGGGCUUAACCCAUGGGCUGCUUUAGAUACUGCAAAACUCGAGUUCGGGAAAAGCAAGCGGAAUUCCUGGUGAA
rnacentral:rRNA from 1 species